rnacentral:rRNA from 1 species
CUUCCGUAGGUGAACCUGCGGAAGGAUCAUUGGGACCGAGUUUUCGGGCUUCGGCUCGACUCUCCCACCCUUUGUGAACGUACCUCUGUUGCUUUGGCGGCUCCGGCCGCCAAAGGACCUCCAAACUCCAGUCAGUAAACGCAGACGUCUGAUAAACAAGUUAAUAAACUAAAACUUUCAACAACGGAUCUCUUGGUUCUGGCAUCGAUGAAGAACGCAGCGAAAUGCGAUAAGUAAUGUGAAUUGCAGAAUUCAGUGAAUCAUCGAAUCUUUGAACGCACAUUGCGCCCCUUGGUAUUCCGGGGGGCAUGCCUGUUCGAGCGUCAUUACAACCCUCAAGCUCUGCUUGGAAUUGGGCACCGUCCUCACUGCGGACGCGCCUCAAAGACCUCGGCGGUGGCUGUUCAGCCCUCAAGCGUAGUAGAAUACACCUCGCUUUGGAGCGGUUGGCGUCGCCCGCCGGACGAACCUUCUGAACUUUUCUCAAGGUUGACCUCGGAUCAGGUAGGGAUACCCGCUGAACUUAAGCAUAUCAAAGGCCCGGAGGAA